rnacentral:rRNA from 1 species
CGCCAAUCAGCUAGCUCAGCCAGUAAAAGCAACAACCAAAUAUUAAUACCCCCACAUGCACCACCCACCCAACAACAAACCAUUUUUCCCCCUUAGUAUGGGCGACAGAAAAGGAAUAUUUGAAGCGAUAGAAAAAGUACCGCAAGGGAACGCUGAAAAAGAAAUGAAACAACUCAGUAUAAGCCCAAAAAAGUAGAGAUCUCAACUCGUACCUUUUGCAUCAUGAUUUAGUGAGUAAUACCCGAGCAAAGAGUACUUUAGUUCUGAACCCCGAAACUUGGUGAGCUACUCCAAGACAGCCUAUUAAUAGGGCAAACCCGUCUCUGUGGCAAAAGAGUGGGAAGAGCUUUGAGUAGAGAUGACAGAUCUACCGAACCGAGUUAUAGCUGGUUACCUGAGAAAUGGAUAGGAGUUCAGCCUCCCGGCUUCUCUCUUCACCAUGGUUUCACCCUUACUGACGCCCAAGAAGCCGCGAGAGUUAAUCAAAGGGGGUACAGCCCCUUUGAGACAAGACACAACUUUCCCAGGAGGGUAAAGAUCAUAUUUAAACAAGGUAUCACGCCUCGGUGGGCCUAAAAGCAGCCAUCCCAACAGAAAGCGUUAAAGCUCGAGCGUUCUCCAUCCGCCCGUAUAUUUAGAUAUCUUAUCUUAGCCCCCUAACAAUACCAGGUCACCCCAUGCGUACAUGGGAGUGUACAUGCUAAUAUGAGUAACAAGAGAGCAUUAGACUCUCUCCUUGCACACGUGUAUUUCAGAACGAACUCGCACCGAGAAUUAACGGCCCCAAAAGAAGAGGGGACUGAAGAACAAGAAGGCAACCAGAAAACCAUUCAAUAAAAACCGUUAACCCCACACUGGUGUGCUAUUAAGGAAAGACUAAAAGGGGGAGAAGGAACUCGGCAAACAUAAGCCUCGCCUGUUUACCAAAAACAUCGCCUCUUGCAAUGAAGUAUAGGAGGUCCCGCCUGCCCUGUGACUCUAAGUUUAACGGCCGCGGUAUUUUAACCGUGCGAAGGUAGCGCAAUCACUUGUCUUUUAAAUGAAGACCUGUAUGAAUGGCACAACGAGGGCUUAACUGUCUCCUUCCCCUAGUCAAUGAAAUUAAUCUCCCCGUGCAGAAGCGGGGAUACAUACAUAAGACGAGAAGACCCUAUGGAGCUUUAGACACCAAGGUAAAUCAUGUCAAGCCCUUCCACCUCAAGGAAUUAAACCAAAUGAGCCUUACCCCCUGUCUUUGGUUGGGGCGACCACGGGGAAAUAAAAAACCCCCGCGUGGAAAGGGUGUACUACUCCUACAACUAAGAGCCUCAGCUCUAGUUAAUAGAAUUUCUAACCAACAAGAUCCGGCAGAGCCGAUCAACGAACCGAGUUACCCUAGGGAUAACAGCGCAAUCCCCUUUCAGAGGCCAUAUCGACAAGGGGGUUUACGACCUCGAUGUUGGAUCAGGACAUCCUAAUGGUGCAGCCGCUAUUGAGGGUUCGUUUGUUCAACGAUUAAAGUCCUACGUGAUCUGAGUUCAGACCGGAGUAAUCCAGGUCAGUUUCUAUMUAUGUUAUGCUUUUUUMUAGUACGAAAGGACCGAAAAGAAGAGGCCAAUACUUUAGGCACGCCUCACCUUCCCCUAUUGAAGUCAACUAAAAUAGGCAAAAGGGCAUGCCCCUUCUAGGCCCGAGAUAACGGCAA